UGAUGAUCUGAUGAACAGAAACCAAAACUGAUUAAACCAGUAUUGCCUGUCAAACAUGUUUUUACUAUGAAGAGGUUUCUGUUGUUUUCAUCCAGUUUUACUUUUUUGUUAAAUGGUAGAGAACAAGGGUUUACUUGAUAUACACUUAUUUCAGAUUCAUGUUGACUGCUUGUGUCAAAACUAUAGGGUAAGAAACGCAUUUUUUUAAAUGGAAAACAAGAGUUGGAGUUUGAUUUUGUGAUUUGAGUCAUCACAUGCAAGAAGAACAGAAGCUACACUUUAGCUUUUUUUUCUUGCUUUUUUUCUUUUUCUUUUUUAAAAAAGCUAAUUAAUCACUACUUAUUUUUAAAAAUGAGCAACUUACACAUUUGUGUGUCUUUGUUCAUUUGUUUACCCCGCCAUGCACUGCACAGUGAUACACCCGGUAAUGUGACACUAUCACGUCAAAGAAUAUAGGUAGGAGGGAAUAGUUUGACUAAAGUGGAAGGGUUUACUUUACAGUUUCAUUUACUGUGCAUUUACAAUGACUGCUCGAGAGAAUGACAGAACACAACACGAAGAAACAGAAGAACAUUUCUUCAAGUCGAACGCUGUAAAAAUGACUUGUGAAAUGUCGAACCUGAGCAGAGAGAUUCAAGAAGACACUAGUGCACUGAUUGAUGAGGUAUUUUAUCUGAUGGUGACAUAAUGUACUGUCAGGAUGUUUAGAACACACUGUUUUUAUACCGGAUGGAAAAUUCUUUCUCUUUGUGAGCAUCUGUUUUCUGGGAAAAAUCUUGGAAGAUUUUUCUCCAGAGGACAUCAUAGCUGACGAGGAGAUGUUGGAAAACUUAAAAACAUACUAUCCCAGGCCUUUUCGAUGCUAUCAGGCUCAUCUUCCCAGGCGGAGUCCGUUCUCCUGUGUGCUUGACAUGGUAAGAAAAUAUUACUGCUACUUUCAUUCUGUAAUGAUACAUUUUCACUCAAAAUUCAUUUAUAAAAUUGUCAUUAUUAUUUAUUGUCAUUAUUAUUCAGCUCCAAACAGAAGGUUUACACAGACUACGAGCCAGGCCAUUUAUUUAGACUUUGUAAAAGUCUAAAUAUUUAGACUUUGUAAAAGUCCCAAAACAAAGCUAAAGGAUCGAGUAUUGAUCUUACAUUCUUCUGGACAAAAUAACAACUCCUUUGCCAUUUAAGGAAGAGGGUUUAGCUAACAACUCUGGAAAAAUUGGAGAGCUGUUUAUACUGAGAAGUGGGAAACUCCUGGAAUCAGCAGGUACAAGGUCAAAACGCACUGUACGAAUGGGCCAAAAAAUCACACCUUAACAAUGCAUGUGACUAGUUUCUCCAUACUGGAGGUGUCUUGAAACUGUUGUAACCAACAAAGGCUUUUGUACAAAGUAUUAAAUAAAUUUCAGUAAGCAUGUUCAAUACUUUUUCCCUGUGUCAUUUAUCAUUAUUAACAUAAUUUAUGGACAUCUAUACUUUGGUUUCUUUGCAUGUGUGAUUUAGAUGGGUUGUUACCAACCUCUGGUGAGAAUUACAAUACUACAAUAUGUAGCCGAUUUGAUGACCUUAAAUUAAGUUUGCAAAUAGACUAACAUUUGAAUUUGUUUGUUAUAUUUAAUCAAAACUCUCAGACCCACUGAGGCUACAGCAGAAAAUAUAAAACCUAAAACUGUAUUUUAAACAUUAAUUUAAUCAAGCAUUUAUAA